CAGAGACCUCGAGCGUUAUCCGGAAUCAUUGGGCGUAAAGCGUACCGAUAGGUGGUUAAGAAAGUCAGAUGUGAAAUCUCCGAGCUCAACUCGGAAUCUGUCAUUUGAAACUUCUUGACUAGAGGAGCAAAGAGGAAGCUGGAACGAACGGUGUAGUAGUGAAAUGCGUUGAUAUCGUUCGGAACACCAAUAGCGUAGGCAGGCUUCUGGGUGCUACCUGACACUGCUAGGACGAAAGCGUGGGGAGCGAAGGGGAUUAGAUACCCCCGUAGUCCACGCUGUAAACGAUGUACAUUAGGCGCUAGGGAGUAUCGACCCUCUUUAGUGCCAAAGCUAACGCGAUAAAUGUACCGCCUGGGGAGUACGGCCGCAAGGCUA
rnacentral:rRNA from 1 species